AUUGAACGCUGGCGGCAGGCCUAACACAUGCAAGUCGAACGAGUGGCGGACGGGUGAGUAAUGUCUGGGAAACUGCCCGAUGGAGGGGGAUAAAUACUGGAAACGGUAGCUAAUACCGCAUACCAUCGGAUGUGCCCAGAUGGGAUUAGCGAGUAGGUGGGGUAACGGUUCACAUAGGAGACGAUCCCUAGCUGGUCUUAGAGGAUGACCAGCCACAGUGGAACUUAGACACGGUCCAGACUCCUACGUGAGGCAGCAGUGGGGAAUAUUGCACAAUGGGCGCAAGCCUGAUGCAGCCAUGCCGCGUGUAUGAAGAAGGCCUUCGGGAUGGAAAGUACUUGCAGCGAGGAGGCGUUACUCGCAGAAGAAGCAUCGGCUAACUCCGUGCCAGCCGCCGCGGUAAUUC
rnacentral:rRNA from 1 species